rnacentral:rRNA from 1 species
UGAGGAAUAUUGCACAAUGGGGGAAACCCUGAUGCAGCAACGCCGCGUGAAGGAAGACGGUUUUCGGAUUGUAAACUUCUAUCAAUAGGGAAGAAAGAAAUGACGGUACCUAAAUAAGAAGCCCCGGCUAACUACGUGCCAGCAGCCGCGGUAAUACGUAGGGGGCAAGCGUUAUCCGGAAUUACUGGGUGUAAAGGGAGAGUAGGCGGCAAGGUAAGCGAUAUGUGAAAGCCUUAGGCUUAACCUGAGGAUUGCAUAACGAACUAUCUAGCUAGAGUACAGGAGAGGAAAGCGGAAUUCCUAGUGUAGCGGUGAAAUGCGUAGAUAUUAGGAAGAACACCAGUGGCGAAGGCGGCUUUCUGGACUGAAACUGACGCUGAGGCUCGAAAGCGUGGGGAGCGAACAGG